GACGAGCCAGUGGCCACCACUCAUGGCUAUUGGACGUCGUCAAUACAUGUAUUGUAGAUUAUAUAUAAUACGCUAAUAUUUUAAGACGACUCCAAAGCAAUAAUUGAAUAAAAACCAUACCCAAAGAAAAUUGAGGUUCACAUAAUCUGCAUAUAUACACUAGUCAUUUUGAGAACUCGUAGUUUCAUAUUUAAGCUCUUAUAUUUGCUUUAGAAACAGUAUGGAACUCACUAGAGUUGAGAGUAUGGAAUUCCAGAGAAGGUCUAAAGCAGUACUCAAUUUAAAGGAAAGGAUUGAAGAGCAGAGGAAAGCCAAACAGAGAAAAAUACAAAUAGAAAAGGAGAGGAUUGAAAACGAGAGGAAAGCUAGAAUCAAAAAAAUACAAAUGGAAAAGGAAAAAAUUGAAGAGGAGAGGAAUGCUAGAUACGAAAAAUUACAAAUGGAAAUUGAGAGAAUUGCAGAGGAGAAGAAAGCUAGAUAUAGAAAAAUACAAAUGGAAAUUGAGAGGAUUGAACAGGAGAGAAAAGCCAAACAUAUAGAAAGACAAAAGAGAUUUGAAUAGUGGAAAAUAAACAAAACCAUAAUCAGAAACCGAAUCACCACAAAAUUUGUAUUGAAGAUCGAAUUUCAGUGUCAACAACAAAAUAACUAAUGAAGAUCGAAGAAAGCUAGAAUUAUGGCAAAUUCUCACCAUUUCUUUUUUAUUUGACUAUAUAAUGUAGCAUAUAUAGUGGAAAUUCCACUUUUAUUAUUAUUAUUAUUAUUAUUAUUAUUAUUAUUAUUAUUAUUAUUAU